rnacentral:rRNA from 1 species
AUUGAACGCUGGCGGCAGGCCUCACACAUGCAAGUCGAGCGCGCGGCGGCCGGGUGUGAAAUGUCUGGGAAACUGCCUGAUGGAGGGGGAGAACUCCUGGAACCGGUAUCUAAUACCGCAUCUCAUCAAAUGUGCCCCGAUGGGAUUAGCUAGUCGGUGUGGUAACGGCUCACCACGGCGACGCUCCCUCGAUGGUCUGAGAGGAUGACCAGCCACACGGGAACUGAGACACGGUCCAGACUCCUACGGGAGGCAGCAGUGGGGAAUAUUGCACAAUGGGCGCAAGCCUGAUGCAGCCAUGCCGCGUGAGUGAAGAAGGCCUUCGGGUUGUAAAGCACUGGCAGCGGUGAGGCGUUACCCGCAGAAGAAGCACCGGCUAACUCCGUGCCAGCAGCCGCGGUAAUAC